rnacentral:rRNA from 1 species
AGAAUCAACGCUGGCGGCGUGCCUAACACAUGCAAGUCGAACGAGAAAGUGGAGCAAUCCAUUAGUAAAGUGGCGCACGGGUGAGUAACACGUGACUAACCUACCCUUGAGUGGGGGAUAACCCAGGGAAACCUGGGCUAAUACCGCAUAAUACCUUCGGGUCAAAGGAGCAAUUCGCUUAAGGAGGGGGUCGCGGCCGAUUAGUUAGUUGGCGGGGUAAUGGCCCACCAAGACGAUGAUCGGUAUCCGGCCUGAGAGGGCGCACGGACACACUGGAACUGAAACACGGUCCAGACUCCUACGGGAGGCAGCAGUGGGGAAUUUUGCGCAAUGGGGGAAACCCUGACGCAGCAACGCCGCGUGGAGGAUGAAGCCCCUUGGGGCGUAAACUCCUUUCGAUCGGGACGAUAAUGACGGUACCGGAAGAAGAAGCCCCGGCUAACUUCGCGCCAGCAGCCGC